rfam:Glossina brevipalpis unplaced genomic scaffold Scaffold28, whole genome shotgun sequence.
GCCCGGGUAGCUCAGUCGGUAGAGCGUUGGACUUUUAAUCCAACGGUCCAGGGUUCAAGUCCCUGCUCGGGCG